UACUCGUACCUGGACACACCGUACCCGGAAACCGACUUCCCCCCGGACAUACGCGAUGCGUGUCUCAAGCGGAGCUCCGUUGGUGCCGAGGUCCGUGCAGCCAAAGUGGUGGUGGUCGGAGACGUCUCCGUAGGCAAGACGUGCCUCAUCACAAAGUUCUGCCACGAGGUCUAUGACGCUAAUUACAAGGCGACCAUCGGCGUCGACUUCGAAGUGGAGAAGUUCAGCAUCCUCCACGUGCCAUUCAGCCU